AUCUGCUCCAUUCUACCGUCCCACGCCUCCUACUCCCGCCCCUUGACUCCGCCGCGUCGCCGCCGCCGCCAGUGGACGGCGCCCCGAGCCGCCGCCGUCGCGCCUCAGCAGCUCCUCUUGCCUUGCAUCGGGAGGAGCUGGGCCGACGACCUCGGCCGCGCCAUGCGCUCGAGGGCGCCGCUGCGAAGAGUGCCAGGUCGCCCUUCCCCUUGCACGAGGAGAGGAGAUCAGGGGCCCUCGACCUGGUGGUGGUGCGCGGUGGCGGUGUUGGAGCUCGGGCGGCGGGGCUCAUUGGCUGGACGCGUGCGCGUCCUCGAUUUCGUCCGGCGGCGGCGGGUUAGUAACUCAACGGAGCGUGGGCGCCGCCGCUGCCACCUCGCAUCGGGAGAGCGGCCACGGGGCACUGCCGCGUGUAGCGCCGGGAGGUGAGGGUCGCGGCCGGUCGCGGCCCUCCUCCUCGUGGUCGUCUCCUCUACAAUGCCUCCGUCCCCAGCCUCCUCUGCACGGCCCCGAGCCUCGGUGUCGUGCUACCUCUUCCCCACCUCCUCUGCAUGGCUUGGCGUUGAUACCUGGCGUCGCGCAACCUCUGCCCCUGUCUUGGCGUUGCUGCAGCAUGGGACAAAAUCAACCGUGUUCUUCCCCUUCCCUGGGGAUGCCUUUGUACAUAAACCAGAUCUUGAAAAGCAUAUGGAUAAUCCCAUAGUCCAGCAGCUGCAAAUGGAGGUCAACUACGCUGAAACCAAAAGCCAAAGCCAUCAUUACAAGAAAUAGCUCAAUAAGGUGAUAGUAGAUCACGAGGUUGCAAUGCAGCUCGAUAAGGUGAUUGCAGAUCAUGAGGUUGCAAGGACAACUGGUUAGCAAUUCUCCAGCUUUAUUUUUAUUAUGUUAUGAGGUUGCAAGGAUAACUGGUUAGCAAUUUUUUCGGCUUUAUUUGAUCAUGUUAUGCAGCUCAAGAAGCAAUUCUUCAUCUUUGAGGACUUGAGGUCCUACUGGUUCUCACCGAAGCCACAUUCCGAAGCAUUGUCUUGUGCCCAGGUCCAUUUUGUAAGUUAGGUUUGUCAACUAUAAUGAAAUAGAGCAUGUGUUUUGGGACUAUAUGUUUUCUGAAACUGCAACUGGCUUGCGAUGGCCCAUUUACAUGUGUGGUCGGUGUUUUUGUAUAAAUGAAUUGAUGCCACACUUGAAUAUUCAGUGUGUGUCAGAUGUGAGUGAUGAAUAUUCACUCUUGCACCAGAUCGUUUUUCUCUUCUUUUUCAUUCCGAACUUUGUUUUGGUGUUCCUCUCUGCCUACUGGCUUAUUUUUUCUCGCCGCCGUUCUUCAUGUCCAGAUUAUGCCCAUGGCCGUAUAUGCUCCAUCUUUGGGGUCAUUGGGUUAUUUUCCUUGGUCUGCUUCUAUUGUAUGGUACAACCUCAACAGCCACGCAGGUGAAUCUGCUGGAAUUACAAGGACUGAUCUAUGCUAAGAAGCUUAUUGUUGAAGAUGCUGCUGGUGCAUUUGCAAAGAUUGCGGUAGCGCCACUAGAGAGGGUCAAGAACUUACUUCAGGCUCGAACCGGAGGGUUUCAAUCCCUUGGGAUCAUCGUAUCCUUGAGGAAGUUGUGGAAAUACAAGUGAAUUCAAGGUUUUUACAAAUAUUGUUGGGAAACAUGCCUUAAGCUUUGACUGUCGAAUUCAGCAUGUUGAUUUUGAGCUCUGACUGCUGAAUUCACAACAUUGAUUUUCAUGCUUUGACUUCUCAACAAAGAUUAAUUAUUAUUUAAGAUCUGAUGCAAUGUCUGCACAUGUCUGCACAUGUUUGCUUGGUGGGAUAAUUACCUGAAAGUAUUUGUGUUUACACGGCCGGCGCCAGCUUCUUCCUCCCUAUCGGCCAGGCGAGGUGGUCAGCAGGAAGAGGCAGUGGCAUCUCUUCUCCCAGUUCCUUGGAUAUUGGACCUUGAUUCUUCUGCAGAAACUUGAAUAUAGGCAACUAAAGUACAUAUGCUUCUCUUGAAGGACAGAUUGGUCUUGAGGGUAAUGAGUAGAAAAAAAAUCAUUUUGUGAGUCAAUUGGAUUGGCUCAGUUUAUUUGAGAAGGCGGAAAUAACUCAAUGAAAGACAUAUAUUUUGUUAUGGGAAUAGCCAUUUACGUUUUCUUGAUAUGGUACUGAUGUCUUUCCUUUACUUUUUAUUGAAAGGUAAUUGCCUUUGCCUAUAUUUUGUCUGCUGCUGCUGUUUUUACUCCUCAGAUCGCACAUAUCAUGGAUUUUUUUUUGCAAUGUGGGCUUAGUUUGCAGUCAUAAUGUUCAACUAAUUGUUUGAGAGAUAACAACUAUUAUUUUAGUCCUAUGAAGCAGAGUUGCUUCUCUGGAUGUUCUCCCCAUGAAUACAAUGGGUUUGAUUUUAAUCAUGAUAUGGAUAUUCUUUUCAGUUCAGCUCAUGGUUUGUCGUAUGAUAAACAAAAGAAUAUUCUUCAGCUUUUAGUUUGUUCAUGUGAUUCACGAUAGUUAUUACCGUGUGUGCAUGCUGUUUAAUAUGUGGUCUGAAAAUAUUGUUUUCUUCUAUUUCUAAUGAAAUUAUGGUUCUAUAAUCCAACACAUUUUUCACCCCUUAACAAAUCAGUGAUAAUCUAAUGGUCUUCUAUAUGGUUGCCUUAAAUCCCAAUUCAAAAAGCUUUUCUUUCUUCUGGUUGUGUUGUCGCCAGCAGGACGACAGGACGGAGGCACAUCGGUGGAAAACUGGUCCUUGCUCCGAUUCAUCAGGGAGGACAACGGUCAGGGGAACAUCUGCAAGGCCUCAUCUACAAUUUCUUCUUCGCUGAAGAUGUUGGCGUGCCUUCGUCGGGCUAUCUCUCUCUGUGGAAUCCUGCUACGCGGCGAGGGCGGAGAUCAGGUUGCUGCCGCAGUUCACAAAUGCCAUGGUCUGAAUUGACCGGUCAUAUUGGGCUCACAGAUUUUCCAGAAGAAGUAGCUCUAUUUUACAGGACUGCCGUAACAAACCAGGAAUCUAGACAAUAAGUUUCAUCAGCAGCAGCUUCCCUGGUGUAUGUACUUGUUUGUUUUUCUUGCCUCUCUUUCUGUGAUGUUUUAAUACUGCCCGUCUUUAUUUUGAUUGUGUAUAGAUUAUGAAUUAUGAAUUGCUAAUACAACAGUGGACAUCAGAACUGUAUUCUUGAGCUCCCAUUCUUAAUUGGACACCACAAGAGUACAACAGUUUGCUCGACCUUUGCGAGCCCAUCACGGUUCUCAAGUGCCAACCGCUUAUUGUCGUCUCUUGUGUAAGCAGCCGAAAUCUCGGGCAGACGAAUCAGGCAAAAAGAAGACUCGCAUUAGAAGCAGGUACAAUAUUUGAAAUGAUCCGCACUUAUCUCUCCAGAUUUGUUUUACAGUAUACUUGUGCCUAUAGAUGGUUUGGGUUUCUCAUGCGAGAAAGUUGUCAAAUCUGUACUGCUUCUGUAGGUUGCGAUUUAUCACUGAUUACUUUGUGGUUUGUUUUUCAAGAGUGGUGGUUCCACCCUUCGUAGCCUUUGUUGUAUGUGGAUUCUUUUGAUUCAUGCUGCUAUCAGUUGCUUAGUUAUGUAGUUCUUAUUUUAUCAUGCGGUGUAUUUUCUCAGGAAACAGACUUGUGUACAUUUCUGGUUUAUCAACGGUUUGUUCUACUCUUAUUAUUAGUGCAGUGGUUUGUGCUAGCCGGAUGGCUUUGCCACGACAAUGACUUUGUGAACUCCUGGCUCUACCCGUUUAUUUCUAUCUAUGAAAAAGACUACUUAUCUACCUACCCCUAUUUUUUUUUUGCAUGGUUCCCUGAUUAGUUUAUGUUUCCUUGGUACCAUGAUAUCCAAAUACUAUGUUGCGAGAAUGUCCAGCCAAUAUAGAUGCUGAUUUUGGUGUGCCUUCUUUGCUUUCAUUGCUCUUCACAGAAUCAAGUAUGUUAGCUACUAUAAUAUACUCCCUCCUGUUUAUUAUUUUUAUAUAAACGUUUGUUACUCUAUUGUAUUUAUUCUGGUCCACUAGAUUUUGUAAAGAGUAACAUUUUUUUUACGGGGAAAAAGGAAUUAUAUUACUUAAACAGUAGCAUUACAAUUAAUCCCUACGGAUGAGUUCAAUGAUCUCAUCCGGUCCAUGACCAAACCAAACAGCAGUACUAUCCAAGGAUUUGGCUCCCGACAGAAUUUUUUUCCCGAGGGUGCUCGGGAUUCCCGUUUCCCGCGGUAACCGAGAAAUCCUGACCGGUUCCCAAGCAAAUUCAAAAACUAAAAUUUGACUUUAAAUUUCAAAGAAAGAGUUAUUACGAGUCGGAACUGGAGGUUUUCACAACCUGUCUGCUACCUAACUGGUCAUUCUCUGUUCAUUGCUGUAAAUGUGUACUCCAGGUCGGCCGUUCGAACUUUGUUUCCUACAAUUUUUGCAUAAUUAUGUGAUUUUGACACGGACAGAGACAAUAAUCGUUAAAAAUAUGUAGGAGGACGUGGAAAUCGAACCCAGAACAUAGCGUUGCAAACAACUACCCGGAACCACCAAGCCACGCAUUCAGCUUGUGCAAUUUUGUAGACUACAUCGUAUUUAUCUAUUUUCGUACGUUUAAAUUCAAAAAAAUCAAAAAAAAAUCAGGAUUUUUUGACCGGUAAGAUUGUUAACCGGGGGUGCUCGGGAAAAAAUUCAUAUACUGCUACCGUGAGGUUUCUUAUGUUUAUUGGCAGCGUGGAGGUUCAGGUUUUCUUUUAUUUUGCAGGGCUUUGAAUUUCUCAGUGGUCAUUGUGUAUUUGGGUUCAUUGGAAAUACCAAGGAUGGUUGGUCUCCUUUUUCUUUUGCUGCAUGGAGUGGAUCUUUGGAAUUGAUGCAGAUGGUUUGAGAAGCAAUAGAGCUUUUUUUGGUUCCUAGGUAAGCGUUCAGUUUUCCUUCAUAGCACUGGCGAAAUUUCUUAUUUCAAGAAAUUAGGAACAUUUUGGUUUCUCUUGCCCACAUUUGUUACUGCCGAGAUUGGAAUUGGAGAAGACAUGCUUUUGAUGUUGUCAUAUUAACUCUCUUCUCUAAUUCUCUAAUAGAUGUCGCAAAGUUAUCAGUUUAGUUUCCAUCUCCAUCUUUUUUAUUGAGCUCUAAAUUGACUAAUACUGUAUAAAGGUCAGUUACGUGUAUUAUUUGUUGUUCAUGUAAGUGUUUUGCAUGUCGUACCCCCUUGGAUAAAGAAGUACUUUUUGUAUGGUUCCCUAGAGAUUUUCUGUUUCUUGUGAACAACUGAGUUAGGUUGAUUGAAUUUCCCAUGAAACUGGAACUGUUUGCCGGGCAUCUCUCUGCAUGUUUAUCUCUCUGCUGAAGUAAAUUAGGAAAAUUUUCACAUUAGGUUGCUUAUUUGAUCAUUCAUAUCUAAAUAUCAAUGUGCUUCUUGUAUCACAUAUCGGCCGAGACAUUAUACCCAUUUUGAACUAUAUGAUCAGGUUGAAAUAAUUAAUGAAAUGCCUGAGGAUAAGACCGUUACCGUAUACAGAUGUGGUCCUUUAGUCGACCUUUGCCAUGGCCUGCAUAUUCCAAAUACUUCUUUUAUUAAAGGUUUUGAGUUCCACAUUUACUGCAUUAUUUGUUACCUUUCUUCUUACUUUGUUGGUUGAGUCAGUCCUUUCUUUGUGCGUGGUUAGUAAAAACUGUAUGCCGCUCAUUUGUUGCGUAUGUAGUUUGACAAUGUAAGCAAUUUUUUAAAUACAGUUUAAAUUUGCACUUCAAAAUUACUAAACCGAGUUGUAUGGCUAAAACAUGAAAGAGCUUGUGCGUAAAAUGGUGUGUUCUGGAGCAGUAUUUUAGAUUCUUAUAAUAUAUGUAUGUUCAAUUGGAGCAUAUGGUUUAGUUUCUUCAUAGAAGCCUGAAUCAUGCUCAGGUUGCAGCGACUCAGAUGCAGGUAAGGAAUUUGUAUGUAGUUAAAUUGAAAUGACUGGUUUACUAUCAUUAUGUUGUUCAUUCCUGGACAAAUAUAUGUUCGCUAUUGUACUGAUGCAAAAUGCUUUCUUUGGCAAUUCACUCAUUUUUAAUAUCCCCAGAUUCUUUCAAUUUAGCUUCAGUUUGAUCGGCAAAUCAUCUAUUUCUAUCACGAAGCUUUCUGGGAUCAAAUAAAUUAUGGGUUCCCUUGAUAUUAAACUAAAGUCUAUAUGUGAGUGAUUUUCAUCUAGAACCCAUGUUUUCACUCGAUUUUGCAGUAUGCAAGUCACUGUUAUGUGUAUUGCCUUGUUUAGCAUGGAAGUCACAUAAUUAAAAAUAGCUCUUCUGAUGUAGAAAAUGAAAUGAAUCCACAGACUGAACUCAUUAAGGUAUUACAUGGGAUAAAUGUUUUCCGAAAUUCUCUUUCGGUUCUGUUUGCCCAAGUUGACAAGUAGCAAUCUUGAUGAAACACUGCAUUUUUAUUUCAUAAAAGUCGAUGGUAUGGUUUUGCACUUGCUAAAUAAAACUGUGUCGCUAUCUAUUACCUUGGUACACAUACCGCAUUUUUAUUUCAUAAAAGUCGAUGGUAUGGUUUUGCACUUGCUAAAUAAAUCUGUGUCGCUAUCUAUUACCUUGGUACACAUAUCGGCAUGUUUUCAGGUGCAUGUAUCAGUCUUGGUCUAUGAGGAGAUGUGUGCUAUGUAUGAUGAUGUGCUGGUGGCGACCUCGAUCUUGAGCCACCACACCUGGCUUCUACCACCAUGUAGUUAUCUUACUGCAUUUAACUAUAUGCAUUUUUCGUGGCGUUGUUUUUUCUUUUCCUGAACCUUUAGAUAUACCGAGGCAAGGCAGUAGAGAGAGUAUACUUUCGUGGGGAGCUGCCACCCCUUGUUGGCAGUGUAAACUUGGCCUUCUUUGGCUCUUUUCUAUGUGAUUGUACACAUUUUCAUGGUGUGUUAUCGAAAAAAAUUACUGCAGCAUCUC